ACCGGUGCCUAUUACGGUGAGGAUCCACCUGUUCCCAUUCCGAACACAGAAGUUAAGCUCACUCGUGCCGACAAUACUUGGCGGGCAGCUGCCUGGGAAGAUAGGUUGACGCCGGUA
rnacentral:rRNA from 1 species